rnacentral:rRNA from 1 species
UACGUAGGGUGCAAGCGUUGUCCGGAAUUAUUGGGCGUAAAGAGCUCGUAGGCGGUUCGUCGCGUCGGCUGUGAAAACCCGGAGCUCAACUCCGGGCCUGCAGUCGAUACGGGCGGACUUGAGUGUUGCAGGGGAGACUGGAAUUCCUGGUGUAGCGGUGAAAUGCGCAGAUAUCAGGAGGAACACCGGUGGCGAAGGCGGGGUCUCUGGGCCGAUACUGACGCUGAGGAGCGAAAGCGUGGGGGAGCGAACAGG